rnacentral:lncRNA from 1 species
UUUUGAGGUUUUACCUACAUGAGCAUCAUUAUCAACCUUAUUUGUUUUAGCCUUGAAGAAUGUUUGGAUGAACCACCUACCUAUUUUAUAUGGCUCAAUCUCCUUCCCCCUCUACUGUUUAUAAGUAAUAGCUCCUCCAUCUGUCUGUCUAGCAAAUGAAAUAGGUUCAUGCUAUCUCUUUUGCAUCAUUGAUGUUAUGUUUUGUUUUAUAUGUGCACUACAUUCAACAAAUUCAUGAAUAAGGCUUGUUGGAGGAUUUUAGUUUGAGAAUGGUGGCACUGGAAACAUAAGACAUCUCAUAUUUAUCCUAUCACAUACAAAUGCCCAUGUUCCGUUUAACAAGAACAAGUGUGGAAACUGACUUGGGAUUAUAGCUAGCAACAAAUGUUUCAAUCUUUUAUGUGUUGCGUCCACCAAUAUUAGAGGUGCACUCAUGCCCGGUAAUGCCCCAUAUACAACAGAGAAGUUUCUCCUGAAUGGAGCUUCAAGUUAGAUGUUUGGUG